CCUACGGGAGGCUGCAGUGAGGAAUAUUGGUCAAUGGACGAGAGUCUGAACCAGCCAAGUAGCGUGAAGGAUGACUGCCCUAUGGGUUGUAAACUUCUUUUAUAUGGGAAUAAAAUGUUCCACGUGUGGGAUUUUGUAUGUACCAUAUGAAUAAGGAUCGGCUAACUCCGUGCCAGCAGCCGCGGUAAUACGGAGGAUCCGAGCGUUAUCCGGAUUUAUUGGGUUUAAAGGGAGCGUAGGUGGAGUGUUAAGUCAGUUGUGAAAGUUUGCGGCUCAACCGUAAAAUUGCAGUUGAAACUGGCAGUCUUGAGUACAGUAGAGGUGGGCGGAAGUCGUGGUGUAGCGGUGAAAUGCUUAGAUAUCACGAAGAACUCCGGUUGCGAAGGCAGUUCACUGGACUGCAACUGACACUGAGGCUCGAAAGUGUGGGUAUCAAACAGGAUUAGAUACCCCUGUAGUC
rnacentral:rRNA from 1 species